CAUGCGAGUCAAGGGGGCGUCCCUUCUGGGACGCCACCGGCGGACGGCUCAGUAACACGUCGGUAACCUACCCUCGGGAGGGGGAUAACCCCGGGAAACUGGGGCUAAUCCCCCAUAGGCCUGGGGUACUGGAAGGUCCCCAGGCCGAAAGGGAGCCGUAAGGCUCCGCCCGAGGAUGGGCCGGCGGCCGAUUAGGUAGUUGGUGGGGUAACGGCCCACCAAGCCGAAGAUCGGUACGGGCCGUGAGAGCGGGAGCCCGGAGAUGGACACUGAGACACGGGUCCAGGCCCUACGGGGCGCAGCAGGCGCGAAACCUCCGCAAUGCGGGAAACCGCGACGGGGGGACCCCCAGUGCCGUGCCUCUGGCACGGCUUUUCCGGAGUGUAAAAAGCUCCGGGAAUAAGGGCUGGGCAAGGCCGGUGGCAGCCGCCGCGGUAAUACCGGCGGCCCGAGUGGUGGCCACUAUUAUUGGGCCUAAAGCGGCCGUAGCCGGGCCCGUAAGUCCCUGGCGAAAUCCCACGGCUCAACCGUGGGGCUCGCUGGGGAUACUGCGGGCCUUGGGACCGGGAGAGGCCGGGGGUACCCCCGGGGUAGGGGUGAAAUCCUAUAAUCCCGGGGGGACCGCCAGUGGCGAAGGCGCCCGGCUGGAACGGGUCCGACGGUGAGGGCCGAAGGCCAGGGGAGCGAACCGGAUUAGAUACCCGGGUAGUCCUGGCUGUAAAGGAUGCGGGCUAGGUGUCGGGCGAGCUUCGAGCUCGCCCGGUGCCGUAGGGAAGCCGUUAAGCCCGCCGCCUGGGGAGUACGGCCGCAAGGCUGAAACUUAAAGGAAUUGGCGGGGGAGCACUACAAGGGGUGGAGCGUGCGGUUUAAUUGGAUUCAACGCCGGGAACCUCACCGGGGGCGACGGCAGGAUGAAGGCCAGGCUGAAGGUCUUGCCGGACGCGCCGAGAGGAGGUGCAUGGCCGCCGUCAGCUCGUACCGUGAGGCGUCCACUUAAGUGUGGUAACGAGCGAGACCCGCGCCCCCAGUUGCCAGUCCCUCCCGCUCGGGAGGGAGGCACUCUGGGGGGACUGCCGGCGAUAAGCCGGAGGAAGGGGCGGGCGACGGUAGGUCAGUAUGCCCCGAAACCCCCGGGCUACACGCGCGCUACAAUGGGCGGGACAAUGGGACCCGACCCCGAAAGGGGAAGGGAAUCCCCUAAACCCGCCCUCAGUUCGGAUCGCGGGCUGCAACUCGCCCGCGUGAAGCUGGAAUCCCUAGUACCCGCGUGUCAUCAUCGCGCGGCGAAUACGUCCCUGCUCCUUGCACACACCGCCCGUCA
rnacentral:rRNA from 1 species